CUUGCUAGUUGAGUGCGUCGAGCUCCGCGCUCGUACUAAUCUUUCGCCUUUUACUAAAGAUUACCGUGGACGUCUUACGAACAAUGCGGCUUCACUAAUUUCUGACCUCCCUCUGGGAGGA
rnacentral:snRNA from 1 species